ensembl:lncRNA
UUAAGGAGAGAAAAGGCUCAGCUGAGAAGAUCUUUGAGGCUAGCCAAGAAGAGGGCCAGCAACAGGGAACACCUGUGAAAAUAGGAUUUACAAGACUGGAGUUUGUUACCUGGUUGCUGGGUGCAACGUCAGUGCUUGAGCCAAGAGCUUAGACCCUUGAACUCUUGUGCUCUCUGGUAUCUGGACUACUCUUGGACAAGAGCUUUGGACUUGCAGACUUAACCUUGCUUCUUGGAUACUACUGGUAAUUGGAACACGAGAAGCCAAACCAGCAACUAUAAUAAGGAUGGAAGACAGCAACAGGUGGCCACUCUUGCCAAGCAAACUGCAUAGAAUUUGGAAUCGACCCAGUUGUCAAAAGGCGGGAUGAAGUCUUGCCUUAAUCCUGAAGAACUUGAACUUUUCUGGCAAGUGGUUUUCCCUAUAGUAUAAGAGAAAUCUUGAAGCAAAGUAAGCCUGGUUUGAAAGAAAACAGCAUCUGUAAGUUUCCUGUCCUGUUAAGAAGUCCUGGGCAUGCAAACAAUCCUAAGCAGGAAAGAAUCCAAAGGUAACAUGUAAAGCAAUACCGACCCCCCACCCCCACCCCUCCCCAGGCAUAAAUAGCCUUAACUGAAUGCUGGUCUUCAGCCUGCCCCCCUCUUAAGCAUGCAGCUGGUGACGUCAAGGCUUUUGUUGCCAAUACCCUCAUUCCUUUCCUCCUCCCUUGCACUACUUUAGUCCCACCAAAGGGCCAGGGAAUCCAGACUGCACUGGGAGAUGAGGAGAAGCUGAGGGAAGCCCUGGGUACCACAGGCUGAAGAGCUGUAUUCUCACCAUCCAUCCAUCCAUCCAUCCAUCUACCCAUCCACCCACCUGUCUUCUUCAGGUAGAGCAAGAGAUGCAUUUGCUAUGAUUGGGCUCUUCCAUUUCCAAAAGAUGAUCGAAUACUUAAAACAUUUUAAAGAUGGGGGAAAAAGGAAGCUCUAACAUUUAAAAGUAAACCAAAUGCUGGCUUUCUAAUCCUUGUACUUUAAGCAAAACAACUCUACCUAAUGUGUUAUCGAAGUCUUUCAUGGCUGGAAUGAUUGGGUUGCUGUGAGUUUUUCAAGCUGCAUGACCCUGCUCCAGUAGCAUUCGCUCCUGAUGUUUCAUUUGCAUCUGUGGCAAGCAUCCUUAGAGGUUUGUUCAGACCUCUGAACAAACCUCUAAGGAUGCUUGCCACAGACCUCUGAACAAGCCUCCGAGGAUGCCUGGGUGAAAUGUCAGGAGAGAAUGCUACUGGAACAUGGUUAUACAGCCCGAAAAACACAAAGCAACCCAACUCUAUUUAAACCAGCCUGGAUCUAGCUAAAUCUAAUGGCCAUCUAAUGGUCAAUUUCUUCUUUCAUUCUGCUACUAAUGACACUAUGUAACACAGUUUUUGCUCCUGGGUUAUAAAUAUCAUUUCCUAAUUGGUUUUCCUAUAAAAAAAUGGAAAAAAGGUUUAUUAAACUGCAACAACUUUUUUUCACAGGACAUCCCACAGCACAUUUUGCUGUAGUUUUUCAAUGAAUAUCUCCUUGAGUGUUAACCAAUUCAGCAAAGUU